CAUAUUUCAAGGUUGGCUACCAACCCUGAAUAAGAUUAAAAAGUAUCUGGUUUGGAAAAAGCCAUUCUUUACUUUAUUAGGCAGACUUUAGGUAAAUCAUUUUCCAUUUAAGAAUAUCAUGAUCACUCCUACUACACAAUGAGAUUUAAAAAAUACAGUCAACAUAUAAAUAUGCAUAUGUUACAAUGGCCUAAGAAAAGGAAAACUGUUUUUCUAAUUUAAAUCCAGUGGGGAAGCCUUUUGUUUAAGGAAGCCGACAGAGCCCCGGAAGGGGGCUAACACCUCCUCCCCUUCCCUGGAAAUUCCAUUAAUGUGAAUUUAAGCUCCAGAGGAGGCAUGGGAAACAGGAGAAAGGUAUCUACAGGUCAGAAAACCCACACAAAUGCACGGUUUCCUAAGAGCUUUGGAAAAGGCUUGAGCUCAGACCCAUCGGGGGACCAGGAAGGAGGUGGCAUGACAUGAAGAGGGGAAAUUAGCAAGGAACCCCAGGGGCAGUGGGGCCAGCCCUCUCCUCACGGGGUUAGGGGAGAAAAAAAAUCAAAUACCUGCUUUGCCCA
rnacentral:lncRNA from 1 species